rnacentral:rRNA from 1 species
AUGGGAGUGGUGGAGUUCUCGGUGCUGGGGGCGGUUCAGAAGUUUCGAUCCCUCAUCACCGGCUCCACGCCCGCCGCCGACGAAGAAGCCCGCCAGGCGAGCGCACCACCGUCGCCCGCAACGCCGCCGCGCAGCGGGGGCGUAUCUCCGGUGGAUUCGCCGCCCCCCGCAGCGAGAUCCGGAGGCAGGCGUGCCAUCGCCCUCCGCCGCCAGAUCUCGUCGCCACAGCCUCUCCGCUGCUACCCUGUCAGCGGAACUGGUUUUCAUGGGUGCAGACGAGCAGAUGGAGAGGAAAACGACGGGCCUGGGAAGUUUUUCAGCCCAGGGAACGACUGCUUAAAUGACCUCUCAGACACUGACUCUGUUAGCGAGCUCAACCGGUCUAUGACCCUAAGCCCCUUGGAGAGCCCGACCUGGAUGGUCUGGCAGAAUGGCGGCACACGAACUUCCAGGAGAAACGGCCGUUUCAGCCUGGAUUCUCUUGAACAUGGUACUAAGACCAUUGCUGAAAGUAGUGGGGAAAGCGACACAAAUAAACAUCAAGUUGAUUUUGAUGCCAAUAUUUGGCGCCCACCACCGCCGGAAGAUGAGGGUGAUGAUGCCGAGUCGAGAGUAUUUGGAUUUGACGACGACGACGAUGAUGAUGGGGUUGAGGAGUCAAGCAAUCUUCUUGCCCUUGGCUGCUUUAGCACCAACAAAACGGUUGGUGCUGACAUGAUCACAGAUAUAGCCCAUGCCGAGGGUCUGAGGAAUGCUGUACUAGGUCAUUUUCGUGCUCUUGUGGCUCAGUUACUGAAUGGAGAAGGUAUCAGUGUCGGAAACGAUGAUGGAUGCAUAAGUUGGCUUGAGAUAGUGUCGUCCUUAUCCUGGCAAGCUGCUAGUUAUGUGAGACCAAAUACAAAGAAAGGUGGAAGCAUGGAUCCUACUGAUUAUGUCAAAGUCAAAUGUAUAGCAUCUGGGGAUCCGACUGAUAGCAAUCUUGUUAGGGGAGUUGUUUGUUCCAAAAACUUAAAACACAAACGCAUGAUGUCUGAGCAUAGGAAUGCAAAGUUGCUCAUUUUAGGAGGAGCACUUGAGUACCAAAGGGUCACUAACAAAUUAGCAUCAAUAGACACUAUUCUUGAACAGGAGAAAGAGCACCUGAGAACGAUUGUCAGAAAUAUAGAGUCUUUGCAACCAAAUGUGCUGCUAGUUGAGAAAAGUGUCUCAUCGUAUGCCCAGGAGCUCUUGGCAAAAGGAAUUUCAUUAGUUCUAAAUGUCAAGAGGCCACUCUUGGAGAGGAUAUCAAGGUGCACAGGAGCUCAAAUUGGCUCAUCAAUUGAAAAUAUUGCUUCAGCAAGGCUAGGCCAGUGUGAAAUUUUCAAGGUGCAGAAAUUUUUGGAAUUUCCACCAGGAAAGCAGACAAACAGGAGAUCAACUAAAACAUUGAUGUUCUUUGAAGGCUGCCCAAGGCGUUUGGGCUGCACUGUUUUACUGAGAGGGCCCUGUCGAGAGGAACUAAAAAAAGUUAAGCGUACAGUACAACUUGCAGUCUUUGCCGCCUAUCACCUCUCUCUUGAAACAUCAUUCUUCGCUGACGAAGGCGCAACUCUUCCUAAAGGUCCUUCAAGGCCCGUAAUAGAGUUGCCAGAUAUUCGAGGUGACACAGAUUGUUUUGCUGGAUCUGCUGGAGUUGGCAUGCCUCAUAAACUCAAACAAGUACAAGGCGAUGAUUCAUGGAUGUUUGAGGAAAUUUCUGUAUCACCUAGAUCAUUAUGUUUGAAUGAGGAAGGUGAAAGUGUCGUCUUUGAGCAUAGGGAAUCUGGAUCUUGUGUUGAGCACAGGGAAUCUGGAUCUCCUGUUGAUGAUUACUUACCCCAUGCAAUUGGUUCGUGCGAAGAGAGUAAAAUUUCUCCAUAUUUCCUUGAUCUUGAUCCAAGAACUUCAGGGAAGAAAUGUCAAGAAGUAGACCAUUGGAAUCAUAAACGACAUCAUGACUGUCCUGCCGGAGACUGUAAUGACCAGAAUGAAUUUUCUGGUGAAUUCUUUGGUACCAAUGACAACCAUCAGAGCAUCUUAGUUUCCCUAUCAAGCACUUGCAUUCCCAAAAGCUUGGUAUGUGAGCGUCCACAGCUCUUCCGCAUUAAGUUUUACGGUAGCUUUGAUAAGCCACUUGGGAGAUACCUCCGGCAAGACUUAUUUGAUCAGGCAUAUUGUUGUCCAUCAUGUAAAGAACCAUCAGAAUCACAUGUAAGGUGCUAUAUUCAUCAGCAUGGAAGCUUAACAAUUCGUGUUAGGCGGCUUCUGUCUCAGAAGUUGCCAGGGGAGCGUGAUGGGAGGAUAUGGAUGUGGCAUAGAUGCCUGAAGUGCGAACCUAAGAAUGGUGUACCACCUGCUACGCGGAGGGUAAUUAUGUCAGAUGCUGCUUGGGGCCUGUCAUUUGGGAAAUUCCUGGAGCUAAGCUUUUCAAACCGCUCUACUGCUAACCGAAUUGCAAGCUGUGGGCAUUCUCUCCAGAGAGACUGUCUUCGUUUCUACGGAUAUGGGAACAUGGUGGCCUUCUUCCGAUAUUCUCCUGUUGAUAUUCUAUCAGUUACCCUCCCCCCCUCCGUAUUGUGUUUCAACUGUCACAGUUCACAAGACUGGACCAAAACGGUGGCAGUUGAGAUAUAUGGCAAAAUGAAAUCCUUACACUGGGAGAUAUCUGAUUUUCUCCAUCGCACUGAAAAGAAUAUUCCAAGUGAGGAUGAUCCGGUCAAGACAGGUAUUCAUAGGCAGAUAAUUGAGAUGAAGGAUUUGCUUAAAAUGGAAAGAAACGAAUGCGAGAUUUUGCUCUUACCUGUUAUUAGAGAUAGUAAUCACCACGUGCAGGCAUCAAUUGAUAUUCUGGAGCUCAACCGCUUGAGGCGUGGCCUUAUUCUUGAUGCUUACCUUUGGGAUCGGAGGCUAUGUCACAUAGAUUCACUUAUUGAAACAAAUGGUAGUGUUUCAAAGAACAAUCCUGCUACCGAAUUUCUCUUGGACAUCAGACUGAAGGAGUGGAAAACUGAUUUGCUUGAGGCGGACACAAAUAUUGGAAAACCCACUUGUUUGUUGCAGUCACCUGGAAGUCCAAGAAAAUCUUUGUUAUCCAGAGAGGUCUGCUUCAGUGAUGACGAGUACAGUAUCUCUGGGAAAAAAUUGCAGAUUGAUCUGGUUGACCAUCCUGGUGAUGAUACAGAAGAUCUUGACAAGGUCUUCAGCAAAUUCAAUGGAGAGAAAGAAUGGCCAUCCACUAGAGCUGCCAUUGGUAUGGAACCUGUUGAGAGGUUACCCUCACUUGCGUCUAUUUUUUCUGAUAACAUUGAUUUAGCAUGGACUGGAUCCAGUGAGUUACAGUAUGAUCUUCCACAAGAUUUCACCAAAAUUGAUGAAAAUGGAUCCCUUAAUUUGUUGGAUAACCCAGUUUACAAGAAUGCCCCUGUUAGAAUUCACUCAUUUGAUUCUACAGUAGCAUCCCGUCAGCGAGAACGCACUGGAUUAGCUCCUACUUCAUUGCAUCUAUCGUCAUUCAGAUCUGCUGAGUAUUUCGGGGGUUUGACUAGCAUCACAAAAGAUCCAAUGCCAAAUAUAAGGAGGGCUUGUUCUCAAAGGUCACCUGGGGCGAUAGAGAAAUUAAAUGUUAUUCUAACUCGUUCACCCACACAUAUCUCAUCCGCUUCACAUAUGGUUGAUGACGGGGCACGGCUGCUGCUGCCCCAGAUUGGCAAUGAAGAUGUUGUUGUUGCAGUCUAUGAUGAUGAACCCACCAGUAUUGUUGCAUACGCCAUGACUUCAAAUGAAUAUGUGCAGAAAGUCACACGAAAACUAAAUUCAACUUCGAGUUUUUCACAUCUUCCAAAUGCCACCGAGUUAAACCAUGGACUUGAGCAGUCAUUGCCCUCACAGGAAAACAAUCUGGAUUCUGAAGGAACUCACUUUAAGUUUUCUUUUGACGACGAAACCCCUCUUCCUGCAGAUAAUGCGAAGUUCUCUGUGAUUUGUUAUUUUGCAAAGCAUUUUGCUGCGCUUAGAGAUAAAUGCUGUCCAAAAGAUAUUGAUUACAUUCGUUCACUAAGUCGCUGCAAGAGAUGGUCUGCCCAAGGUGGAAAAAGCAAUGUUUACUUUGCAAGAACACUGGAUGAGAGGUUCAUAAUCAAACAAGUCACCAAGACAGAGCUGGACUCUUUUGUGGAAUUUGCUCCUCAGUACUUCAAGUAUUUGAUGGAAUCCUUGGCCUCUGGUAGCCCAACUUGCCUGGCAAAAAUAGUAGGAUUAUAUCAGGUUAAUGUCAAGGGCUUGAAAACUGGGAGGGAAGUGAAGAUGGAUCUAAUGGUGAUGGAGAAUCUUUUCUUUGAAAAAAAGAUACCUAGGGUGUAUGAUCUGAAGGGUUCAUUACGCUCUCGCUACACAUCCGGUGAUAGUAAAGUCUUGUUAGAUUCAAACCUCAUAGAGGCACUGCAUACAAAGCCUAUAUUUUUAGGGAGCCGAGCAAAGCGAAGAUUGGAAAGAGCUGUCUGGAAUGAUACUUCGUUUCUUGCGUCAGCGGAUGUCAUGGAUUACUCACUUCUUGUUGGAAUCGACGAGGAGAAGAAAGAACUCGUCAUCGGCAUCAUCGAUUACUUGCGCCAAUACACCUGGGACAAACAGCUUGAGACUUGGGUGAAGGCCUCUGGCAUCCUGGGAGGCCCCAAGAACGAAGCCCCCACCAUUAUAUCCCCGAUGCAGUACAAGAAGAGGUUCAGGAAGGCCAUGUCCAAGUACUUCCUCACCGUCCCUGAUCAAUGGACCUCUUAA